rnacentral:rRNA from 1 species
ACUCCUACGGGAGGCAGCAGUGGGGAAUAUUGGACAAUGGGCGCAAGCCUGAUCCAGCAAUGCCGCGUGUGUGAAGAAGGCCUUCGGGUUGUAAAGCACUUUUAUCAGGAGCGAAAUACUACCGGCUAAUACCCGGUGGGGCUGACGGUACCUGAGGAAUAAGCACCGGCUAACUUCGUGCCAGCAGCCGCGGUAAUACGAAGGGUGCAAGCGUUAAUCGGAAUUACUGGGCGUAAAGCGUGCGUAGGCGGUCUUUUAAGUCUGCUGUGAAAUCCCCGGGCUCAACCUGGGAAUGGCAGUGGAUACUGGGAGGCUAGAGUGUGAGAGAGGAUGGUGGAAUUCCCGGUGUAGCGGUGAAAUGCGUAGAGAUCGGGAGGAACAUCAGUGGCGAAGGCGGCCAUCUGGCUCAACACUGACGCUGAGGCACGAAAGCGUGGGGAGCAAACAGGAUUAGAAACCCCUGUAGUCC